UAAGGUUUCAUUUGGGUAGACCGCCCUACUUGCAUUCGCCCCUAUAAAAACGUUAACGGAUCGGUGUAAGAUUUUUGUUAUCGGGCCGUUAACGUCUUUCCGCUUUACUGCCGGUGUGGGAUUUCCCCAAUCACGCCAGAAUCAACAUGACAAAGUCUUUAUUAUAAAAUAGUUAAAGGUAUUAUGAUGUUUUCUUUAUUUAAUAUAUUUUAUUUUAAUUAUAAAUUUGGCUUUGUAUCACUUUUUAAAGUAAUAUUAUGAUUUAUUUAUUUAUCAAUUAGGGUUAUAUUGGUGAAUUGCCCUAACUGGUCUGGCAAAGUUUUACCCUUGCCGGUCCAGUUCUGGAAAUCCCCAAUCAAAACGGCAUUUUUCCCCCGCUGUACAAACUAAAAAAAAAAACAAAAGAUAAAAACAAGUGAAAAUGAAACUGAAAAAAAAAACACAGAUGUUUAAUUACAUAUAGAAUCUUUAACCUCAGGAGAACAUCUUGGAUCUAGAUUAAAAAAAAAUUAUCUAGAUCUACAUUUUUCAUUUUAUGCAGAUUUUUUUUCGACCAAUGAAAAAGAAGUAUUCUAUUUAGACCUACGUUCUUUUGUUUUAAGCGCGCAAAAAAAUAAUUAAUGAAAUCUCGUUCCAGCACUUUAUUGUCUCAUUGUUUCGGAAUACAUCGCGCCGAUCACAUAUUCCUCGUAUUUAAUAGCGCUUAUACCUAGACAAUAGAUCUAGACUUGGAUUUUUUUUUUUACUCAACUUGUAUUUAAAGUACAGGCAUAGACUAUAUAUUACAUGGACUGCCAACUCUACGCACUAAGCCUAUAUUUUUCAAUAAACAAGUCCCGUUCACGGAGGCGUCCUUGGUUGCGUGGUAAAUUGACUUCCGGUAGAUUUUCUUUUACGUAUAAAGAAACCAUUCUCGAAGAUUUUUACCACCACUUUUACAGCAAAUCAUGAAUGGAAACUGAAUUGUUAAAGAAGAUGUUACAGAGGAGCAUACUACUUCCAAAAACCUGAUUUGAUUGUCACUAACUUUCAAAUUAAAAGGGAUCUAUUACAACUGCUCAUGAAUUUCGAGAUUUUACAGCUAAUAGAGGAACAAAUUUUAUCUGCUUCCACUUAGCCAAACAGCAUGGAAAUAUGCUAUUGUAAUGAGUAGAAGAUAUUUGUCAUUUAGAGUAUCAUGCAACAGCUAAUUAUCAGUCCACACAUUUCAAGAAUGAGGAAAAGAACAGUAUAAGCUACAUUCAUUGAUGCAUUAUUUAUACAAAAAUGUAUAGUCAACCCAGUCAUCACUCCAUUUUUUUAUGAAGCCAGUUACAGUUACCAUGAAGGGAUGAAAUUUCAGAUAAUAUUCUAUUUAUUUCAUGAAAUGAGAAUAGGCCUACAUCAGAAAUUGAAAUGGUCAUCUUCAGUAUUUAAUGUUUCAUCUAAAAAUGAUAAUUAUAUUAAUACAUAUUUGAUGUACAAACAAAUGAAAACCAUUCAAACACUUUUUUUUUGUGAAGUAUAGAUGAUUAAACUUGUAAGUGUCUGAACAAUA